GGGGACGUAGCUCAGCGGGAGAGCACCUGCUUUGCACGCAGGGGGUCGCGGGUUCAAAUCCCGCCGUCUCCACCA
rnacentral:tRNA from 1 species